rnacentral:lncRNA from 1 species
CAGAAGUCAGGUCGGAUUAAGCCAUAGUACGGAAAAAACUAUGCUACCUGUGAGCCCCGUCCAAGGACGUUAAAAGAAGUCAGGCCACUACAAGUGCCAUAGCUUGAGUAAACUAUGCAGCCUGUAGCUCCACCUGAGAAGGUGUAAAAAAUCUGGGAGGCCACAAACCAUGGAAGCUGUACGCAUGGCGUAGUGGACUAGCGGUUAGAGGAGACCCCUCCCUUACAAAUCGCAGCAGCAAUGGGGG